GCGGCGAGGAGGGCUCUGAGUCCUCUCCCGGCCAGGCCGAGCUUAGUAUGUGGAGGCGGCGGCGGGAGUGCGGGCAUGGACCAAGGGAAGGGGGACACCCAAACCGCAUUGGUGCCUUCCUUUCCCUCCACUCGCGCCGUAGACCUCCCCAAAUUGCCCGUCUCCGGUAUGACUGAAUCUGUCUGCUGGCCUCUCAGCUACCAACUCUGCCCGAAAUCUAGAUCCCAGACCUGCUCCUGGGAAGCUCUAGGAUGUGACUUUAAGCUGGAAAGACUCUCAGGAGCUAGGUUUGAUAUGGCACAAUCUCAAGGCAUCGCUAAGUCUGAAGUUCUUCCAGCAGGUCUGUAAACCACAAAGGACAAGCAGCUCAGAGAUUAGCGAAUGCGUCUCAGCUGUCCUAGAAAAGUGCUGUCAGCAAGUCUGAAGAGUUUCCCAGAAGCCCUGAAAGGACGCAAUAGCAUCAUUUAGCAGAAAGAAACAGCCCUGGAUUAAUGUUCUUUUGGGAUUCAUCUUCUGGCUUUGUGAUUUUGGGCAAGUUACUUAUCUUCCUCCAUUUAUUCACAUAUAUAAUGAGAGGAGUAGUACCUACCUUACAAACUUUUCUGUGAGAAGCAAAAAAAAUAAAAAUAAAAAAUAAAAAAUAAAAUUGUUAAAUAUUUGC